UGCCCAGCGGGAUGGGUGUUGGAGACAGGAGGGUUGAUGCAGUUGCCCGUGCUUGCUCCGGUUGCCCAUUUUGCUGGUGCCUGGUGUGAGGGCUGAAGGAAGAAGGGGUUGGCAGCUGGAGGUGAGCAAGAGCUCCUGCAGAGCGAGGAGAGCCAUUGGCUGUGUGGGACACGGUGGCUGGCCUGCUUGGAGAAGCACUUGUGGUGCCAAGGGCACGCCCGUUGUGAGGCUGGGCUCCUUUGAGAGCAUGCCCAGCGGGAUGGGUGUUGGAGACAGGAGG